rnacentral:rRNA from 1 species
UACGGAGGGUGCGAGCGUUGUUCGGAAUUACUGGGCGUAAAGGGCUCGUAGGCGGCCAACUAAGUCGGAUGUGAAAUCCCCAGGCUCAACCUGGGAACUGCAUCCGAUACUGGAUGGCUUGAAUUCGGGAGAGGGAUGCAGAAUUCCAGGUGUAGCGGUGAAAUGCGUAGAUAUCUGGAGGAAUACCGGUGGCGAAGGCGACUUCCUGGCCUGUUCUUGACGCUGAGGCGCGAAAGCUAGGGGAGCAAACGGGAUUAGAAACCCCAGUAGU